UACGAAGGGUGCAAGCGUUGUUCGGAAUCAUUGGGCGUAAAGCGCGCGCAGGCGGAUCAGUAAGUCAGGUGUGAAAUCUCGGAGCUCAACUCCGAAACUGCGCCUGAAACUACUAGUCUAGAAUGUCGGAGGGGUAGGGGAAUUUCACGUGUAGGGGUAAAAUCCGUAGAGAUGUGAAGGAACACCGGAGGCGAAGGCGCCUACCUGGACGACUAUUGACGCUGAGGCGCGAAAGCGUGGGGAGCAAACAGG
rnacentral:rRNA from 1 species